AGGUGCUGCAUGGCUGUCGUCAGCUCGUGUCGUGAGAUGUUCGUUAGUCCGCUAACGAGCGCAACCCUCGCUGUGUGUUACAAGUGUCACACGGAACUGCCGGUCAUAAACCGGAGGAAGGUGGGGAUGACGUCAAGUCAGCAUGGCCUUUAUAUCCUGGGCUACACACACGCUACAAUGGGAAGGGACAAUAGGUUGCGAAGCCGCGAGGCGGAGCCAAUCCAGCAAAACUUCCCUCAGUUCAGAUUGCAGGCUGCAACUCGCCUGCAUGAAGUUGGAGUUGCUAGUAAACGCAGGUCAGCCAUACUGCGUUGAAUACGUUCCCGGGGCUU
rnacentral:rRNA from 1 species